ensembl:miRNA
UGUGAUGUAUUAGGUUGAUGCAAAAGUAAUUGGGGUUUUUUGUCAUUAAAAGUAGUGACAAAACCGGCAACUACUUCUGCACCAAACUAAUAUAA